GACGAACGCUGGCGGCGUGCUUAACACAUGCAAGUCGAACGAUGACGACCGAGCUUGCUCGGUCUGAUUAGUGGCGAACGGGUGAGUAACACGUGAGCAACCUGCCCUUCACUCUGGGAUAACCUCGGGAAAUCGGGGCUAAUACCGGAUAUGAGCUCCUGUCGCAUGGCGGGUGUUGGAAAGUUUUUCGGUGAAGGAUGGGCUCGCGGCCUAUCAGUUUGUUGGUGAGGUAGUGGCUCACCAAGGCGAUGACGGGUAGCCGGCCUGAGAGGGCGACCGGCCACACUGGGACUGAGACACGGCCCAGACUCCUACGGGAGGCAGCAGAGGGGAAUAUUGCACAAUGGGCGAAAGCCUGAUGCAGCGACGCCGCGUGAGGGAUGACGGCCUUCGGGUUGUAAACCUCUUUCAGCAGGGAAGAAGCGAAAGUGACGGUACCUGCAGAAGAAGCGCCGGCUAACUACGUG
rnacentral:rRNA from 1 species